rnacentral:lncRNA from 1 species
AUUUUAUUAUUUAAUACUGCAUUGUUGGGAAGGGCUCGCAAGUUAAGCAUUUCACAAUGCAUGUGACAAAUGAACUUGAACUUUAAAAUAAAUUUGCUGUUGCGGUCGUUCCACCAUUUGGGUGCCUUUUGAUUGUAUCUAAUUUUAACAUUCUGUCAUAAAGAGCACAUGUUCUGGUACUGGUACUCCCUGUAUAUAGCCUCACAUUGAUCAGGUACUGGUACUCCCUGUAUAUAGCCUCACAUUGAUCUGGUACUGGUACUCCCUGUAUAUAGCCUCACAUUGAUCAGGUACUGGUACUCCCUGUAUAUAGCCUCACAUUGGUCUGGUACUGGUACUCCCUGUAUAUAGCCUCACAUUGAUCUGGUACUGGUACUCCCUGUAUAUAGCCUCACAUUGAUCUGGUACUGGUACUCCCUGAAUAUAGCCUCACAUUGAUCUGGUAUUGGUACUCCCUGAAUAUAGCCUCACAUUGAUCUAGUACUGGUACUCCCUGUAUAUAGCCUCACAUUGAUCCGGUACUGGUACUCCCUGUAUAUAGCCUCACAUUGAUCUGGUACUGGUACUUCCUGUAUAUAGCCUCACAUUGAUCUGGUACUGGUACUCCCUGUAUAUACUGUAGCCUCACAUUGAUCUGGUACUGGUACUCCCUGUAUAUACUGUAGCCUCACAUUGAUCUGGUACUGGUACUCCAUGUAUAUAGCCUCACAUUGAUCUGGUACUGGUACUCCCAGAAUAUAGCCUCACAUUGAUCUAGUACUGGUACUCCCUGUAUAUAGCCUCACAUUGAUCUGGUACUGGUUCUCCCUGUAUAUAGCCUCACAUUGAUCUAGUACUGGUACUCCCAGAAUAUAGCCUCACAUUGAUCUGGUACUGGUACUCCCUGUAUAUAGCCUCACAUUGAUCUGGUACUGGUACUCCCUGUAUAUAGCCUCACAUUGAUCUGGUACUGGUACUCCCUGUAUAUAGCC